ACGGGAGGCAGCAGUGAGGAAUAUUGGUCAAUGGGCGGAAGCCUGAACCAGCCAAGUCGCGUGAAGGAUGAAGGUAUUAUGUAUUGUAAACUUCUUUAGCUGUGGAGCAAUAAUCUCCAUGUAUGGAGAGAUGAGAGUACACAGAGAAUAAGGAUCGGCUAACUCCGUGCCAGCAGCCGCGGUAAUACGGAGGACCCGAGCGUUAUCCGGAUUUAUUGGGUUUAAAGGGUGCGCAGGCGGAGGAUUAAGUCAGCGGUGAAAUUCUCAUGCUCAACAUGAGAACUGCCAUUGAUACUGGUCCCCUUGAGAGAUGUCGAGGAUGGCGGAAUGUGAUGUGUAGCGGUGAAAUGCUUAGAUAUGUCACAGAACACCGAUUGCGAAGGCAGCUGUCCAGAGAUCAUCUGACGCUCAGGCACGAAAGCAUGGGUAUCAAACAGGAUUAGAUACCCUGGUA
rnacentral:rRNA from 1 species